rnacentral:rRNA from 1 species
AUUGCCUCAGUAACGGCGAGUGAAGCGGCAACAGCUCAAAUUUGAAAUCUGACCCUUUAAGGGCCUGAGUUGUAAUUUAUAGAGGGUGUUUCGGGUGAGAUCAUGGUCUAAGUUCAUUGGAACAUGGCGUCAUAGAGGGUGAGAAUCCCGUAUGUGACUGUGAAUCGAGCCCAUGUGAAGCCCCUUCGAUGAGUCGAGUUGUUUGGGAAUGCAGCUCAAAAUGGGUGGUAAAUUUCAUCUAAAGCUAAAUACUGGCUGGAGACCGAUAGCGCACAAGUAGAGUGAUCGAAAGGUGAAAAGCACUUUGAAAAGAGAGUUNAAAAGUACGUGAAAUUGUUGAAA